rnacentral:rRNA from 1 species
UACGUAGGGUGCGAGCGUUAAUCGGAAUUACUGGGCGUAAAGCGUGCGCAGGCGGUGAUGUAAGACAGGUGUGAAAUCCCCGGGCUUAACCUGGGAACUGCAUUUGUGACUGCAUCGCUGGAGUGCGGCAGAGGGGGAUGGAAUUCCGCGUGUAGCAGUGAAAUGCGUAGAUAUGCGGAGGAACACCGAUGGCGGAAGGCAAUCCCCUGGGCCUGCACUGACGCUCAUGCACGAAAGCGUGGGGAGCAAACAGG